AUCAAUAAAGUAUAUUGAAGGCUGUGCCACUUUCUAUGUGGAACAAGGAACAAUAAUAACUGUUUGAAUACUGCCAAAAAUAUUUGAACACACAAAGUUUCUUUAGAAAGUCUUGGAAAAUGGAUUCCUCAAAAGACUCAGCGGACGCGGGUUACGUCAUAUGUUCUUCUGUAACAGAUAUAAAAGCGCAUGAGCAAGAAAAAUAUGAAGAUGAGAAUCCAGGAAAUGUGUAUAUGGAAUUAGGCACCCCAGAUUAUGAAAAAAUUCAGGACUCUGCAGUUAUUUUGAAACCAAAGAAGACAGAUAAAGGGUAUAUGAUGCCUGUUGAAAUUCACGAUCCGGG